CACAGACAGACAGCUGAACGCAGCAGUGGGGGAAGAGAGAUUGACAACUAAGAGGGAGAGAUGUUGAGGGAAAAUUAGGAAUGAGGAAUGUUGAUCUAGCCCCUACAGGUCAGGUCACGCUCAAGAUUCAGAUUUUCUGGCAUCGGAGGGAGAGGAACACUGGUAGCUUAGGCUAGCUCCAGUUGUGGACCGGCCAUCUGGCAUACCGGGCAUCGUCCCGGUGGGCGUUGACUUAUUUUAAUUUUGAAAGAAACAACACAUGGAAGCAAUGGAGAACGCCAUCUCGUUCGGUUGUUUAGAAUUGAAAAUCCGGCUGCCAGGACAACGUAACGUUUUCACUUUAGUACUCUAUUUCCAAGUGGGUGCUACAUAUUGGUGGUGGUUAGUGAGGUCCCCCCUUCACUUUAGGCGUCUUUGAGUGUUAUUAAUUAUUAUUAUUCUUCAUGUUUAACCUCUGUUUUCCUUUUAUUCCUAGUCUGUUUUACAUAGUUUUGAAUGAUGACUAUAUGCUCUGUAAGGUGACCUUGGGUGUCUUGAAAGGCGCCUCUAAAUUAAAUGUAUUAUUAUUAUUAUUAUUAUUAUUUGAGUGGAACAACUUAGCAGGUGUCCAUAUAGCCUAUAUAGGGUUAGCCUAAUUGAACUAGUUUAAGAAGAGAAAACAUUUUGACUAAAACUAAUGACUAAAAGUUGACUAAAAUGUAAGGACUUUUCGUCGACUAAAACUAGACUAAAACUACAAAGGAAAACAAUGACUAAAAUGUGACUAAAUAUACUAAAAUUUUUUGUCAAAAGACUAAGACUAAGACUAAAUCUAAAAUAGCUGACAAAAUUAACACUGCGUUGACCAUAUAGCAUGGUAAGUUACCUUAGCCUGGGGCUAGCUAGGCUACAUUAUGAGACAUGUCCAAAACAAAGUAGAAAACGUUUUUACAUUGAAUGUGAUGUGACCUAAUUAAGACUGAGAGACACACACACACAAACACACAGACUGAGACAGCUGAACGCAGCAGUGGGGGAAGAGAGAUUGACAACUAAGAGGGAGAGAUGUUGAGGGAAAAUGGCACAUAGAGAAAAUAAAACUGAUGGGGAGAGAGUGAAGGAGGAAGGGGAGAAGAGAGAGUAUAAAAUAAAUGUGAGCGAAAGAUGGAGUGAGAGACAUGGACAGAUAGUGAGAAGGAUGGAAAGAUAGGAGGUGGUGGAAUAAACAAAUAGUGAGAGAUCAAAUGAGAGAUAGGAGAAGGUAGAGACAGAGAUAGUGAGAUAGACAGACAGAGAGACAGAGAGUGUUAGAGAUGGAGGGAGAUAUAGGAGGAGGUGGAGACAGACCCACAUAGAGGAAUGUUGAUCUAGCCCCUACAGGUCAGUUCACGCUCAAGAUUCAGAUUUUCUGGCAUCGGAGGGAGAGGAACACUGGUAGUUUAGGCUAGCUCCAGUUGCGGACCGGCCAUCUGGCAUACCGGGCAUCGUCCCGUUGGGCCGUUGACCCAAUGUAGGCCGGUCCUGUCCGCUAUGUUUUUUUUUUUUCUCCCUCUCUAAAAUUUCCCCCAAUUGGGCCAGCCAAUUGGCUACAGAGGGCUAGCAGUUGCCAGCAUCGACACAUAUUAUUGGUCUAGUUUGUUAUUGUCAAUCAAUCAUGGUUGGUGCUGAAAAACUGCGACUUAAAAAGCUGAAGUCUCUGGAGGUGGAAGCUGCUAAAUGUUCAAAAUUGACAGACCUAUUUGGUGCCGGGGUUACCACCCAAGCAGGUGCUGCUGCGCCGGGAGACGAGCGAGUGGAGGCAUGUAUCAUGCCCAGACAGGUUCAGGGAAAGUCCAGCUGGUCAGUUCAGGGAGAGAGCCAGACCAAUGCAGGCAGCCCAAAGACUAGACCACCUGAGAGGGAAAAGGCUGUAGAGAGUGAGGAGUGUGUCAGCCUUCACUGCACUAAAGUUUGGCUGUUGAGUCUCCUCUAGUAUGGUUGACCACCCUAUGUAUGAGAGCCUAAGGAGUUGUUUUCCCUCUGUCCCCUUUUGAGGACCUGCUUUGUCUCCUCCAUCAUUAACUGAGCCACUUUUGGGUUCCUGAGCUGAUUUCAUGUGGUGAGAGGAAUGCAAUAUGUGUAUGUUUAAAGGUUUAUGUGAAGAAACAUACUAUAUGUGAUAAAAUGACAAUUGGUUAUUCAUAAAAUUCUCUUUAUAUUCUCUGCUACCAUCAUCUCCUGUCAAACAGGUUUUCCUGACCUGCUAGAAGUUCUUCCAUGAUGCUUGAGAGAGAGAGAGAGAGAGAGAGAGAGAGAGAGAGAGAGAGAGAGAGAGAGAGAGAGAGAGAGAGAGAGAGAGAGAGAGAGAGAGAGAGAUUAAUCUUUACUUUGUGAGUUUAUUAUGCAACUUAUUUUGUCUCAGAUUCAAACAAAAGGUUUGAUUAUGAUAAUUUCCUGGUGAAAAUAUGAUGAUUUUUUAUUUCAAACAUCUGCAUAUCUUUGUGUGCAGAUGUUUGAAUGUGCACAUACACGUAUAUGAGAAUGCAUAUCUACUCAGACCUGUAAUUCAUGUCUUAGACUUUUUCACACAGCUAUAGAUAAUUAUUAUUUUUCUCUAUUUAUGGUUCCAUAAUGACUGAGUCACCGUUAAAAAAAUUUGUUUCAGCUCUAAUGCUGAUACUGUCUGUAAUAUGUUUCUAUUUAGAUUAUUUGUCAGGAUACUUUGUUAUUAUUGUCCGAGUCUGGUUUUAACUAAUGCUGGGCUUACACAAAAAUAUAUUCACAUUCACAGACUAAAAACUGAAAGGGUAGCAUAGGGUUCUUCCUGUUAGUCUCGUCCCACCCCUAGUCAUGACAUAACUUCUGUUUUCAUGUGAUGUGACUAUAAUGAAUAAAGACUGAUUGAUUGAUUGCUAUAGCGGUCAAUUUUAGUCCUUGGGGCCUAUCUUGCAUCCGGCGCAAUUUACUUUCUCACUGGCGCAUGUGUUGUUGCUAGUUAGCAACUGCCGCAGAGUGUUCUUUUCCCUCCUGCGCCACGCGUCGGUAAAUUAGGGAAUGAUCUUGCGCCCCAAGGGGUGGUUCAGCGAAAGGAGGAGGCGUGUUCUGGCGCAAAUGUUCCCUGGGGCUAUUUUGCAGAUUCAGAAAUCACUUUCGCCACAAACCAGGAAAUACCUGGUUUAAAGUCAGUGGCGCGUUGUUCAGAUGCUAUUUUAAGGGCGCAUGCAUAAUGUUGCUUGUGCACCUCGCGCAUACACUUUGCUACUCUCAUCUACCUAGCCACACCUUCUGGGUAAAUUAUUUGGGAAAGAACAGCUGAUACAGCGGUAAUAAGUUGUACUUUUAAAUCAAUGCAUCUGCAAACACCGUACUGCAAAUACAUAUUUUCUUGACACAGACAUCGUGUACAUGCCCAUAACUUUUAGGAUUGAUGAGUAUUUGAUUGUGAGAAAACAUUGUCUUAUUGCGAGUGACGGGUUAAAAAGAAUGAAUGAAUGUGGGUACGAGUGUGUGCAUGUGUACAAUUAUUAAUGAAUGCGGGCGCUCGUUUGUGCGUCCAUCUGUUUAAACACACGCAAACUAAACACGUAACGCAUAAUACAGUCCAUGGCAAAGUAUAAUAACGGGGGGACAUAUGAAUAUUAGGAACACAAGUCGAUAUCGAUAAUGCAUACAAUACUGAUAAGAAACGAUGUUUAUAAUGUAUUGUGUAUAUCAUUAAAUAGAAGCACAGUUACCGCAUAUCAUAUGUGUGUUAAGUUUUCUGAAGUUGUGGGAGAAAAGCUUAUUCCAUGUGUGAAUUAGGCCAUAUUAUUUGUCCAUAAACUGAGCCAUUUGAAGUUUGAUUUCAUGUUCAUCUGUCUCAUCGGAGACUGCAGACGUGCUGUCAAUAUAUCAACUCGUCAGAUUCAAAUGGGGAUGGGAGCUGGCACUCUCAUUGGUUUAUUGCACGUUACGCCCAAACCACACCUACGGGUAAUUAGGCUACUUCAGACCAACCCUUUUUAGAUAUGCGCCGGGCGCAAGAGUAAUUUUUGCGCCGGUAAAAUAGCGACAUCGCCAUAGAACCGCCCACAAAGUUACUUGCGCUUCGCACUUCUCACUUGCGCUUCAGACCGUUAAAAUAGGGCCCCUAGAGUUCAUAUAGUUACGUGCUUUAUUUGUUAACUGCUAUCAAGGAAUAUGACUCUCCUUUGUAGUAUGCCUGAGAGGAGUGUCUGGUGAUAAUGCAGUGGGCUGGUCUGGACAGAAAAUGCUAGGGCAGAAUUUUUGUCCCACUCCACCCCAGGCGAGCUCACACAUGUCUUCCACACACACGUGCAUAAUAUGGCGCAAUAUAACUACAGGCUGGGCCAAAGGCAAUAAAGUAAAUAGCUAAACAAGUAGAGGAGCACCAGAUGUGUGAUUGAGUGGCUUGAGAGCAUUGAAUAUUGACUUUGUUAUUACACGUAGGGGCAGGGGAGAGAGUUUCUGAAGAAAGUAA
ensembl:lncRNA